GUCGGGAUUUCGAAUUUCCGGGGAAAUUAUUAAGCUCUGGUACCUUAAUUAUUUUGAGGGGGGAGGUCGAGAUAGUUUUUCUAUUGCGCACGCAUGUUUUCUUCAAUCUGCUCGAGAACAAGACGACAAGUCAAGACUCAAGGUUUUUAAAAACGAACGGCAAACGAUGGAAAAUAUUCAGAAAAAUCAGGUAGGUAUGGCUUUAUUUCUUUCUGCUUAUAUACAUCAAGGCGCUGACCUUUUUAGUGCCCAAAUCUAGAGGCAAACAGUGUGCUUUCAUGAGUUUAUCGGCAAUUUUAACAGCCGAAAAUAUGCCACUGAUCGAUUGGUCAAAAACAACAUUUAACAAUGUCUUAUUACAAGAGGACAAAAUGUACUUAAGAGCUCUGAAUAACGGCUUAAUUGUCUUAGAACCAAGUAUUGAGUUCUUGUCUGUAGAUAACUUACCAAAAGUUGUCAGUGUUUCAUGUUGUAGGAACAUGUUUUUGUAUGAGAUUGAUCUGAUGUCACAAACAAGUAGCAUAGACUAAUCUAUGCAAGUAGUGCACAAAGUAUAAACAAUUAAUCUGCCCAUUGUGGUGGAAAGUAACAUUGAUUUACCCAUUGUGGUAGAGGCCGUAGAGCCCACUGACGCACAAACGAAAAGCGAUCUGCAUGCCCAUUGUGGUAGAGCUUAUUGAGGCAAAAACUAUUGAUCUGCCCAUUGUGGUAGAGCCGUUGAGGCAAAAACUAUUGAUCUACCCAUUGUGGUAGAGCCCAUUAAGGCACAAAACAAACGUGAUCUGCCCAUUGUGGUAGAGCCCAUUGAGGCACAAAAUAACAUUGUCAUUGAUUUGCCCAUUGUGGUAGAGCCUAUUGAGGCAAAAACUAUUGAUCUGCCCAUUGCGGUAGAGCCUAUUGAGGCAAAAACUAUUGAUCUGCCCAUUGCGGUAGAGCCCAUUGAGGCAAAAACUAUUGAUCUACCCAUUGUGGUAGAGCGCAUUGAUUAUAUUCCACUGUUGCUGAGACUGGCAAAUGAUGUUGACGAAAUAUUUAUGCACAUCUUUACAGUAAUUAAUAAUCAGGCUUAAUAAGAUUCCUAUAUCGCAACCCAGUGUGGAUUUUUGUCUGCAUAUAUUAACUUACUAGCAGUAAUAGCAUGUCAACUGAUCGACUUUUCUUUGACGGUCUGUUUAUAUGUCCGAGAUAUGUCCAUUGUUAGCAUAAUAUGAAAUAAUUCCACCGGCCUACUCAUAUGUUCACUUGACUGUGUUGCUACAUUUCAGGGUAUAGUAUAUUUUUUGAUAAUGCUCACAAUUUCUUUCUUAUUAUAUAGUUUUGCAGUUCUGACUGAGUACAAUCCUAAUCAUUACAAUAAAUAAAUGGUGUCAUCGGAAGCUGAUGUAUUAAUUGAUUGUUCAGAAACAGAUUGUUCAGGUGUUCUGUGAUAGGGGUCGCAUUAAAACAAUAAUUGGGACAAAAACUGACUUAGUAUUUCUAUGUAUGAUAUUAUACAGUAUUUAGUAUUUUAGUGGCAAUUAGCUAGCCAUGGCAACUGGUCACAUGAUGUGCUACAGUAUAUCAUUUGGAUAAUGCAAAUAUAAAUGUUAUGGCUAGCUUUGCCACAGACAGUAUUAUAAUUAUACAUACAAAAGUAAGAAAUUAUAAGCAUUGAAAGUAUUCAUAUUAUACCGUCCAUGCAGGCCAUGCUAAGAAAGUAGAAUUAGAAUAUUUAGCUAACCUUUGAUUUUGUGCAAGGUGUUUGAUAUUCAAAUUGCAUUUUUCCCACUUCCUGAACAGGUAUCUUAUGGGCUAUUUACAUGUUGGAAGGUGGGAUGAUUUUGAUGUAUUGAAAUAAGGCUAAACAAAAGUUCAAAUGCUGGUUAAUUAACAGAAAUUAAAUGUUGUACAGAAGAUCUAGCAGUUCAAGCAGCUUAUUAUUACCAGGGGCGUUGGAACGACUGUAAAAGUGGGGGAGGAAUGCGGGUGACGACAGGUAACCGUGUAGGGGAUCCAGGGGCAUGUCCCUCGGGAUAAUUUAAAAACUAUAUUCACUGAAAUGCCAUGUCCUGCACUUUAAGAGAUUUACAGAGUUCUAAAGCUAACAAAAUUCCAACGCCCCUGAUUGUUGCCUGAACAACCUUUCAUUUACAGUUAAUUAUAAUCUAUCUGAAUCUUAUUUUCUUUUGUAGUCUUUUGCUGUAUUGGCUUGUUGCAUUUUUAAUCCAACGCCCCCCCCCCCCCUAUGGAGGACAUCCAUUUUUUGGACCCCCUCCCCUGCAAUUCCGCAGAUGUUGAUGAGUUUCCAUCCUACCCCCUGGAAUUCCACAAUUUUUUUACAAAUUUCCAGCCUACCCCAUGGAAUUUCCACAGAUUUUUAAUGAAUUUCUACUCAUCCCUUGGAAAUUCCACCGAUGGUUUUGACCUAGUCUCUAUAAUUUCCAC